AUCGCACGGUCUUUGUACCGGCGACGCAUUUUUCAAAUGUCUGCCUUAUCAACUUUCGAUGGUAGUUUAUAUGCCUACCAUGGUUAUAACGGGUAACGGAGAAUAAGGGUUCGACUCCGGAGAGGGAGCCUGAGAAACGGCUACCACAUCCAAGGAAGGCAGCAGGCGCGCAAAUUACCCAAGCCCAGCACGGGGAGGUAGUGACGAAAA
rnacentral:rRNA from 1 species